rnacentral:rRNA from 1 species
UACGUAGGGGGCAAGCGUUGUCCGGAAUUAUUGGGCGUAAAGCGCGCGCAGGCGGCGAUUUAAGUCUUCUGUUUAAUGCAUGGGCUCAACCCGUGUACGCAGAGGAAACUGGAUGGCUGGAGUGCAGGAGAGGAAAGUGGAAUUCCACGUGUAGCGGUGAAAUGCGUAGAUAUCUGGAGGAACACCGGUGGCGAAGGCGACUACCUGGCCUGUUCUUGACGCUGAGGCGCGAAAGCUAGGGGAGCAAACGGG